AGCAAACGCUGGCGGCAGGCUUAACACAUGCAAGUCGAACGGGCACUUCGGUGCUAGUGGCAGACGGGUGAGUAACACGUGGGAACGUACCUUUCGGUUCGGAAUAAUCCAGGGAAACUUGGACUAAUACCGGAUACGCCCUUCGGGGGAAAGAUUCAUCGCCGAUAGAUCGGCCCGCGUCUGAUUAGCUAGUUGGUGAGGUAAUGGCUCACCAAGGCGACGAUCAGUAGCUGGUCUGAGAGGAUGAUCAGCCACAUUGGGACUGAGACACGGCCCAAACUCCUACGGGAGGCAGCAGUGGGGAAUAUUGGACAAUGGGCGCAAGCCUGAUCCAGCCAUGCCGCGUGAGUGAUGAAGGCCUUAGGGUUGUAAAGCUCUUUUGUCCGGGAAGAUAAUGACUGUACCGGAAGAAUAAGCCCCGGCUAACUUCGUG
rnacentral:rRNA from 1 species